UUUUUUUUGUGGGUUUUGUUUGUUUGGUGGUUUUGGGUGGGUUUUUUUUGUUGGUUUUUUGGGUUUUUUUUGUGGUGCUGGUGGUAGUUAUUCCCAGUGGGAGUGGAGAAUUGUGUAUGCCAAGGAAUGCCACAAAAAACUGAGAAUUAAAAGGUUCAGCGAGCUCUGAGUGACCCUGCACUUUCCCAAUCCAUGAGGAAAUGGGGGAAAGAUUUGCUGACAAAACCAAAUGGGAAGAGACAGGGGAGGUUAAGGGAUAAAAAUGGAGAGUUUCAGGAGGUCAGGAAUCUGCAGGGCCUGGAAUUCCACACUCCUGGAGAGGGGCCCCAGCUCCACCUGCUGCUGACGGUGACAUUUGGACGCGUGCCGGCACAGAAAUGGCUCCAAUUUAGCUGCUGGCAGGGUCGCCACGGGGCCAACUCACCACAAAUCCCUCUCAUUUCGCUCCUCAGCACUUCCUUCACCUCUUCCUCCUGUGCCAGAGUGGGAAAAAUGGAAUUUAGGGAUGAAUUCCGACCCUGGCAGCAUCUCCCUGAUUGUCCCACCGAGGUGGAGCCACCUUGUUUGGGGUGUAACAAGAGUGGAGAUUUGGUGUGAUGGGGAGCUCGGUUCAAGAUUUGUGGCUCAUUCCCUCUGGAAAUUCCUGGUUUUCCUGCAGCCAUCUCCUCUGGCCACGAGGAAUGGGAGCCCAACCCACUUCACCCCUCAAACCUUGGCUGGCUUUCCAAGCAGUGGAUGAUUUUUAAGGUCCCUUCCAUCCCAAGCAAUUCCAUGUCCUAAAUUGGAAGGGAUCAAUAAAGACCAUCGAGUCCAACUCUCUGUUGGAAUCCCUGCCUCGGAAUUGGAGGAUUUUUAAGGCCUCUUCCAUCCCAAACCAUUCCAUGUCCCAAACUGGAAGGGUUUGUAAAAACCCCUGUCACCCAUCAAACCUUGGCUGGCUUUCCAAGGAGUGUCCCCACGCUCCUGGUAUUGUCCCCAAAGCCACAAUCUCCCAAACUUCCCUGAGCUCUGAAAAGCCUUGGAGCCACCUGCAUCCAAAUUAUCCUCCAGGAUUGUCCCUUGGGAAUGGGGCUGUGGAACCACAUUUGAUUAUUUGGAGCUGCACCUCCUCCUGCUUUCUCUGCCUCUUUCCCAGCCAGCGCCGUUCCCCAUGGAAUGAGAGCUCUGAUCUCAUGGAUUUGGAGCCCAUCCUUCAUUCCUGGGACAGCUAACAGCCACUGAUCCAUUGGGAAUCUUCCCUGUGGGAUGGUCAAUGUCCGACUGGACUUCUGGGGUCAUCACUUCUUAUCCUUCUUGGGAUUCUAAAUUUUAGGGUAUCUUCCCAUGUAGGGAGCUGGAAUUUUCAGCAGCCCAAAUUUAGGAGAUCCUUUCCCACAACCCCCCUGCUAAAAUUAAUCCUGCUUGGAAAAUCAAUACACACUCUGGGAAAAUGGAAAUAAUUCCUUGCGUCAGUCAAGUGGCACAAAAUCCGGGAUGAAGGGAUGUGAAGGGAGAUGCAACAGGAAUUUUGUCCUGAUCCACGUGGCUCAACCCCCUCCUUCUUCCUCAGGAUUUGGAAGCCCAGGGCAGCAGUUUUUCCCUAAAGGCUUUGAAAAUGAGGGGAAUUUUCCUCUCCUGCUUUUCCUUUGGCUUGGAUCAUCCCUGGACCACCAGGAGCUGGGGGGAAAAUCUUCCUGGUCCUUUAGGCUUGGCUUUGUAGAGCCCAGCUUUUCUCCCACUCUGCCAUCCCUGGGUAACACCAACAGCUUCAUUUCCCAGAUAUUCUCGGAGUGAAUCCAUUUCUCAGCAUUUCCCUCCUCCCCUCGGCCUCUUUGGCCAAUUUUCUCCAUUUUCCCCCCGAAAUGGGAAACGAUCUUGGAGAGAAAGCACUCACGGAAAGGCCCGGAUCGCCCUUGGCUCCUUUCUGCCCGGCAGGACCAUUUUCCCCCUGUCAAAAACACUUCCAUCAUUACCAAAUCUCUGGAGAUUGUCCAUGAAAUGCUCUGGGAAUAAGCGCUCCUUUAGGGAUGAUAGCUCGGAAGGGAGGUGGGUAAAAAGCCUCACGUGUUUUCCUAUAAAUUUUAGGGAUUAUCUGUGAGUGGCUCAGUGGGCUGACAGGAACAGCCUCGUCCAUGUGUCCAUCAGAUUAUCCCAGAUUUUUUGGGAGCUCUGCUCCAUCCCAACAUUAUUCAUUAAAAACAGGAGCUGAGAGACGGCGUUCCCAAGCUUAAUUAUCCUGGGAUAAUUAAGCACUUGAUGUCCUGAUCACUUGGAAUUAUCUCUCAGUGGAGAGGUCAAAUCUUCCCCUGAAGAGAUGGGAAAGGAGGGGAGGAAAGGGGAUGGAAAACGAACUGGGAGAUGAAAUCCAUGGAUCAAGUCAGGUUUAUUUUCCAGCUGGAAGAGAUGGAUACAAGGAGAGGGUCUGCACAGAAUCUUUGGGAAUCAGCUCAAGCAGAAGAUUUGAAACUGGAGCUGCAAUUCCAGUGCUGGAAAGAUGGAAAAACAAGGAGAUGUCGAGCUUUGUCAACAAGGGAUAAAAACACCCUGACAAAUUUUCCACUCAGAACUGCUGGAAACUGGAUUUGUGCAUUAAGGGUACUUCAAAAUAUUAAAGGACAAGGAGCACAAGAAGGAUGAUCCCAAUUAAAGCCGGGAGGAUCAUUUUUCUCAAUCCAUGCUCACUUCCAGUGCCAGGAAAAAUCACAUUAUCCACCAGCAGCACAUGGAGUUAAAGCAGUGCCACUCCUGAUCCUAAAAUCCCUUGGGACAUUGGGGUUUGCAGGGUGCAGAGACUGACCCCAAACAGGCUGGGGAAUCACCCUGGGAUCCAAAGCUCCUGUUGGAAUUCUCUGCUGAGCAUUAAUUGUGCAUUAAUUAUCCUGCACUGAUUACUGGGUCAUUCCUGCUCUGCCUCGGGGAUGUGCUGAUCCAAAGUUUGAUGUUUUCCCAAAGGAAUCUCCCGCCCCAGCUGGAGACACCUCCAGGCAGGAAUUUGGGCAGCACUGCUGCCUGGAAUUUGGGAUUCCGACGGCUCUGCUCUUGUUGGAAAAUCUGGAGAGCUGAGAAAUGAAACCUGGAAGAUCCAAGGUUCAUCCAAGCCCAGUUUGGAAUUUUGGGAACCCCACCGGAUCGUUCCCGUACUGACCGCUUCUCCUUUUGGCCCAUCCAUGCCCGGAGGUCCCUGGAGGCAGAGCUGGGGUCUCCCUCUUCUCCCUGGUGGACCCUGGAGAGGAAAAGGAGAGUUCAGUCAGCACUUCCAGAGAUAUCCCCCAUUUCUUUGGGAUUUUCCCCCUAAAACCCAGCCUGGGAUGGGAAUCUGCUCUGGAAUUUUUUCCCCCCUCUCCCAACCCCACAAGCCAUUCCCAGCGUUUCUCCUUUAAUUCCAGGAGAAGCCAAGGAGCAGUGUGGGUGGAAAAAGUGGCACCUCACAGCCUCUCUUUAAUCAGUGUCCAAAAAAAAAGCCAUUUAUUAUCCCAGACAGGCUUGCUAAUAACAUCAAAAAUUCCAGCCUUUUUAAAUAUCCAUGAGGGAAUCUUGUACUUUCGGCUCCCUCCUCCCUCCUGUGAUUCCUUUGAUUUAUUUUUCAUGGCAAGUCACAGCCUGGGGAGCAAGAGAAGGAAGAAUAAUUUUGUUUCCAUGGGCUGUAGCAGGAUUUAAUCCAUAUUUUAUUGUUCUGGAAGGACCUUUUCCCACCUUCCUCCUAUAACCACCUUUCAAAAUUCCUCUUGAAGAUCCCUGCCUCACUUCCAGCAUCUUUAUUUGGGGACUUCAAGUUCCUAUUUUUAAGGAAGAUGCCGAUUUCCAGAGGUAUUUUCCAGGUAAAAUUCAGCUUCCAAAAGGCAAAUUAGCAGGGAGAAAAUCCAAGUGUCUUUGGGAAGGAAAAAAAAAAAAAAAAAAAAA
rnacentral:lncRNA from 1 species